UGUCAGCUAUUGGCAUCCAAACAGCCUCAGGGCUGUUUUACCUGUGCAGAAUGAAUGUGGAUACCCUGUCGCAUGGAAACAAUAAGACUUAGGGGCGUCUUGUUUAUUUAGCAGUUUACACAAGACAAAGGGUUGAUCCUCUAUGUGCAGACUUCCUGAAGCCCCUUCUCCACAUGAGAUUCACUAAAGGACCACCUUGUCAUUCUGGAUUUGAAGAUGAAAACAGGAUUCUUAAGAGAAUUCUUUGAGUAAUGUGAUGUGUUAAACUAGGAUGAUGUGUCAUGUUUACAGAAAUUAAUCUUCAGUAACUUUGUCAUCAGUGACUUUUUCUGAGUAUUAUAUGUCAUUUACACUAAUAACAUAAUUAAUAAACAUAUAGAAACUCA